CGUCAUAAGCCUGCGCCGCUCUCGCGCUGUGAUUCAACUGGAGAAAGGAUAAAGUGUCCAAACACAGAGAAAAACUCCUGCUGAAGCGACUGAUCUCCACACUGUUAUAAAGAUGGCGUUUAUUAAAGAGGAGAGUGAAGAUGUGAAGAUUGAAGAAACAUUCACAGUCAAACAGGAAGAUCUGCAGGAACAAACAGGUUGAAUUUCAUUCUCAAAGACCAACUCAGUCAUUUAUUCCUCAUUCAGAUAUAUUUUAAUAAUAAGAAUACUAAAUUAAAUCCAUCUUGCAGCCCUGAGUGUGCUGCCUAGUUCUCCUAAAUGCACAUAAGCACUCAUUGAAAGACAGGAAUGAGUUUCUUUCUUGUUGCUUGUUCUCAGGUCUUUUGUCAUUAUUUUAUGUA
ensembl:lincRNA